rnacentral:rRNA from 1 species
GACGUAGGGCGCGAGCGUUGUCCGGAUUUAUUGGGCGUAAAGAGCUCGUAGGCGGCUUGUCGCGUCGACUGUGAAAACCCGCAGCUCAACUGUGGGCUUGCAGCCGAUACGGGCAGGCUAGAGUUCGGUAGGGGAGACUGGAAUUCCUGGUGUAGCGGUGAAAUGCGUAGAUAUCAGGAGGAAUACCGAUGGCGAAGGCAGGUCUCUGGGGCAUUAACUGACGCUGAGGAGCGAAAGCGUGGGGGAGCAAACAGG